GAUGAACGCUGGCGGCGUGCCUAAUACAUGCAAGUCGAGCGAACAGACGAGGAGCUUGCUCCUCUGACGUUAGCGGCGGACGGGUGAGUAACACGUGGAUAACCUACCUAUAAGACUGGGAUAACUUCGGGAAACCGGAGCUAAUACCGGAUAAUAUAUUGAACCGCAUGGUUCAAUAGUGAAAGACGGUUUUGCUGUCACUUAUAGAUGGAUCCGCGCCGCAUUAGCUAGUUGGUAAGGUAACGGCUUACCAGGGCGACGAUGCGUAGCCGACCUGAGAGGGUGAUCGGCCACACUGGAACUGAGACACGGUCCAGACUCCUACGGGAGGCAGCAGUAGGGAAUCCUCCGCAAUGGGCGAAAGCCUGACGGAGCAACGCCGCGUGAGUGAUGAAGGUCUUCGGAUCGUAAAACUCUGUUAUUAGGGAAGAACAAAUGUGUAAGUAACUAUGCACGUCUUGACGGUACCUAAUCAGAAAGCCACGGCUAACUACGUG
rnacentral:rRNA from 1 species